rnacentral:rRNA from 1 species
ACGGGAGGCAGCAGUGGGGAAUUUUGCGCAAUGGGGGAAACCCUGACGCAGCAACGCCGCGUGCGGGACGAAGGCCUUCGGGUUGUAAACCGCUUUCAGCAGGGAAGACAUCGACGGUACCUGCAGAAGAAGCCCCGGCUAACUACGUGCCAGCAGCCGCGGUAACACGUAGGGGGUGAGCGUUAUCCGGAUUCAUUGGGCGUAAAGCGCGCGUAGGCGGCCGCUCAAGCGGGACCUCUAAUCCCGGGGCUCAACCCCGGGCCGGGUCCCGAACUGGGCGGCUCGAGUCAGGUAGAGGCAGGCGGAAUUCCCGGUGUAGCAGUGAAAUGCGCAGAUAUCGGGAAGAGCACCGAUGGCGAAGGCAGCCUGCUGGGCCUGCACUGACGCUGAGGCGCGAAAGCCGGGGGAGCGAACAGGAUUAGAUACCCUGGUAGUCCCGGCCGUAAACGAUGGGCGUUAGGUGUGGGGAGGGUCGUCCUCUCCGUGCC